rnacentral:hammerhead_ribozyme from 1 species
AUCCAACUGAAGAUUCCCAAACAGGACGAAACUCGUGUCCUUGAU